rnacentral:rRNA from 1 species
CCUACGGGAGGCAGCAGUGGGGAAUAUUGCACAAUGGGCGCAAGCCUGAUGCAGCCAUGCCGCGUGUAUGAAGAAGGCCUUCGGGUUGUAAAGUACUUUCAGCGGGGAGGAAGGUGAUGAGGUUAAUAACCUCAGCAAUUGACGUUACCCGCAGAAGAAGCACCGGCUAACUCCGUGCCAGCAGCCGCGGUAAUA